CUUCGAGAACAUGGGCGACAAGUGCUUUGACCUGCUCAACGGCCGCGCCCCGCUAGUGCUGCGCGACGACGGCAAGGGCGAGAUGAGCGUCGUCGGGCUUGCCGAGCGCUCGGUGGGUAGCGCUGACGAG
rnacentral:ribozyme from 1 species